UGAGUUUUGAAUGAAAUCUAAAUCCUAAAACUAUGCAAUACACCAACCACUCUAUUUCAUAAUGAACUUUUUACGAACCUGAAUUGUCCGAUUUCAUGGACCAAUUGAUAUCGAAUUGAGUCCAAAACGGGGGGAACAUCAUAAUAUUGUGGGAUGAGUCAUUUGGUGGGUUUUGAGUGAAAUCCAAUGGCUAAAACUAUUCGGUACACCAACCAC
rnacentral:lncRNA from 1 species